rnacentral:rRNA from 1 species
AGAGUUUGAUCAUGGCUCAGGAUGAACGCUAGCUACAGGCUUAACACAUGCAAGUCGAGGGGAAACGACAUCGAAAGCUUGCUUUUGAUGGGCGUCGACCGGCGCACGGGUGAGUAACGCGUAUCCAACCUGCCCACCACUUGGGGAUAACCUUGCGAAAGUAAGACUAAUACCCAAUGACGUCUCUAGAAGACAUCUGAAGGAGAUUAAAGAUUUAUCGGUGAUGGAUGGGGAUGCGUCUGAUUAGCUUGUUGGCGGGUAACGGCCACAAGGCGACGAUCAGUAGGGGUUCUGAGAGGAGGUCCCCACAUUGGAACUGAGACACGGUACCAAACUCCUAGGGAGGCA